rnacentral:rRNA from 1 species
AUUGAACGCUGGCGGCAUGCCUAACACAUGCAAGUCGAGCGGAUGCAGGGGGCUCGCUCUUGGAUUCAGUGGCGGACGGGUGAGUAAUGCAUAGGAAUCUGCCCGGUAGUGGGGGAUAGCGUCCGGAAAGGGGCGCUAAUACCGCAUACGUCCUGAGGGUGAAAGUGGGGGAUCUACGGACCUCACGCUAUCUGAUGAGCCUAGGUCGGAUUAGCUAGUUGGUGGGGUAAAGGCCUACCAAGGCGACGAUCCGUAACUGGUCUGAGAGGAUGACCAGCCACACUGGAACUGAGACACGGUCCAGACUCCUACGGGAGGCAGCAGUGGGGAAUAUUGGACAAUGGGCGAAAGCCUGAUCCAGCCAUGCCGCGUGUGGGAAGAAGGUCUUCGGAUUGUAAAGCGCUUUUAUUCGGGAAGAAAAGCAGUGAGUUAAUACCUCGCUGUGUUGACGGUACCAAAAGAAUAAGCACCGGCUAACUACGUG